rnacentral:rRNA from 1 species
AAUGGAUAGUACAAAGGGUCGCGAAGCCGCGAGGUGGAGCUAAUCCCAUAAAACUAUUCUCAGUUCGGAUUGUAGGCUGCAACUCGCCUACAUGAAGCCGGAAUCGCUAGUAAUCGUGGAUCAGCAUGCCACGGUGAAUACGUUCCCGGGCCUUGUACACACCGCCCGUCACACCACGAGAGUUUGUAACACCCGAAGUCGGUAGGGUAACCUUUAUGGAGCCAGCCGCCGAAGGUGGGACAGAUAAUUGGGGUGAAGUCGUAACAAGGUAGCCGUAUCGGAAGGUGCGGCUGGAUCACCUCCUUU